CCUACGGGAGGCAGCAGUGGGGAAUAUUGCACAAUGGGGGAAACCCUGAUGCAGCGACGCCGCGUGAGCGAGGAAGUAUUUCGGUAUGUAAAGCUCUAUCAGCAGGGACGAAAAAAGACGGUACCUGACUAAGAAGCCCCGGCUAACUACGUGCCAGCAGCCGCGGUAAUACGUAGGGGGCAAGCGUUAUCCGGAUUUACUGGGUGUAAAGGGAGCGUAGACGGCAAGGCAAGCCAGAAGUGAAAGGGCAGGGCUCAACCCUGUACAUGCUUUGGAAACUGUGUAACUGGAGUACAGGAGGGGCAGGCGGAAUGCCUGGUGUAGCGGUGAAAUGCGUAGAUAUCAGGAGGAACACCGGCGGCGAAGGCGGCCUGCUGGACUGAAACUGACGUUGAGGCUCGAAAGCGUGGGGAGCAAACAGGAUUAGAUACCCUGGUAGUC
rnacentral:rRNA from 1 species